AAGACCUUACCUUUUACCUGUUUUUUUUUUUCCUUUUAAUUUAAGAGUGCAUAGUAUAUAUGGUUAAGAUUCACUUAACAUAAUGAUCUCUGAAGUGCUCAAUGAACUCAAGGCUCCUUUUCUGCAAGUGUCAGUGCAUGAUAAAAGCAAUUUUAGAGAACAGGCUUCAGUGAAGUCUGCGAAUAGCUUUGCUCCAAGAACUACUUUCUGGGCCACAUUUUUACCUUGUGUAAAUUGUCACUGUUUCAUUUUCUUCAAUGCAGCUACAGUGAUUUAUACCAGUGGAGGAAGGACGAUGACAUAUUC